AAGAUGUUUCAUGCACAGGCACUUAUUUCUGUCAAUAUGGGUUUACUAUCCAUACCCGUACGAAAAAUCACCCUUGUGAUUUUCCGUACGGGUAUGGAUAGUAAACCCCAUAUUGACAGAAACAAGUGCCUGUGAUUUCAUGCGAUAGCUGUUAAUUCGAAGAACUCCGUGCAGGCAGUUUAUCAUCGUUCCUGCUACAAAAGUUACACAAGUUAACAUAUUUGUGCCCCCUUUUAGAGCGAGGAAGCUUCUUAUCUGAUAUUUAAUGACGAC
rnacentral:lncRNA from 1 species